CCUACGGGAGACAGCAGUGGGGAAUAUUGGGCAAUGGAGGAAACUCUGACCCAGCAACGCCGCGUGAAUGAUGAAGGUCUUCGGAUUGUAAAGUUCUUUUCUAAGGGAAGAAGAAAGUGACGGUACCUUAGGAAUAAGCCUCGGCUAACUACGUGCCAGCAGCCGCGGUAAUACGUAGGAGGCAAGCGUUAUCCGGAUUGACUGGGCGUAAAGGGUGCGUAGGUGGUUCAGCAAGUUAGUAGCGUAAUUCCGGGGCUCAACUUCGGCACUACUACUAAAACUGUUGGACUUGAGUGCAGGAGGGGCAAGUGGAAUUUCUAGUGUAGCGGUGGAAUGCGUAGAUAUUAGGAAGAACACCGGUGGCGAAGGCGAGUUGCUGGACUGUAACUGACACUGAGGCACGAAAGCGUGGGGAGCAAACAGGAUUAGAUACCCUUGUAGUC
rnacentral:rRNA from 1 species